UACGGGGGGGCAAGCGUUGUUCGGAAUUACUGGGCGUAAAGGGCUCGUAGGCGGCCAACUAAGUCAGACGUGAAAUCCCUCGGCUUAACCGGGAACUGCGUCUGAUACUGGAUGGCUUGAGAUUGGGAGAGGGAUGCGGAAUUCCAGGUGUAGCGGUGAAAUGCGUAGAUAUCAGGAGGAACACCGGUGGCGAAGGCGGCUAUCUGGACAGAGUCUGACGCUGAUGCGCGAAAGCUAGGGAGCAAACAGG
rnacentral:rRNA from 1 species